GCGGACGUGGUGAAACUGGGAAACACUCAUGGUUUAGGACCAUGUGUCGAAAGACUUGUGGGUUCGACUCCCACCGUCCGCACCA
rnacentral:tRNA from 1 species